CCCGACUGCUAUCAGAGUGAGAUUAAGCCAUGCGAGUCAACGUAGCAAUACGUGGCACACGGCUCAGUAACACGUAGUCAACAUAACCAAAGGACGUGGAUAAACUCGGGAAACUGAGGCUAAACCGCGAUAGAUCAAGAUAUCUGGAAUGGUUUUUGAUCAAAAUCUAUAUGGCCUUUGGAUUGGACUGCGUCCGAUCAGGCUGUUGGUGAGGUAAUGGCCCACCAAACCUGUAACCGGUACGGGCUCUGAGAGGAGGAGCCCGGAGAUGGGUACUGAGACAAGGACCCAGGCCCUAUGGGGCGCAGCAGGCGCGAAACCUCUGCAAUAGGCGAAAGCCUGACAGGGUUACUCUGAGUGACUUUCGCUAAGAAAGUCUUUUGACACCUCUAAAAAUGGUGUAGAAUAAGGGGUGGGCAAGUCUGGUGUCAGCCGCCGCGGUAAUACCAGCACCCCGAGUGGUCGGGACGAUUAUUGGGCCUAAAGCAUCCGUAGCCGGUUUUACAAGUCCUCCGUUAAAUCCAGCUGCUUAACAGAUGGGCUGCGGGGGAUACUAUAAGACUAGGAGGCAGGAGAGGCAAGCGGUACUCAGUGGGUAGGGGUAAAAUCCGUUGAUCCAUUGAAGACCACCAGUGGCGAAGGCGGCUUGCCAGAAUGCGCUCGACGGUGAGGGAUGAAAGCUGGGGGAGCAAACCGGAUUAGAUACCCGGGUAGUCCCAGCUGUAAACGAUGCAGACUCGGUGAUGGACUAGCUUUAUGCUAGUCCAGUGCCGCAGGGAAGCCGUUAAGUCUGCCGCCUGGGUAGUACGGUCG
rnacentral:rRNA from 1 species